rnacentral:lncRNA from 1 species
GACUGUCUAUUAUGUUUUCUUUGUGUAUGUGGACACGAAUAAAGUCAUACCAAUUAUUUUUAUUUACAUAAUUUGAGUUCAGAAGCAGAAAUAAUAAUAAUGACUGAAAUGGGAAACCAUAUUUGUGAAAUUCAGUAGGUGGCGAUAAUGCUAAGGAGUUUGUUGGUUACCAUAUAUGGUUUGACUAAAUCGUGUGUGCUAGAAUGUGUGCCUAAAACUUGUGUGGUUCUGCGGUUCUGCAGCUGGAUAUAUCUCGUUGAGUCUGCAGCCAGACAGUUGCAGUCAGCUAUAUUAUCGGAUAAAGAAAAAUGCUUUUUGAAACAUUGGUAUUAGUGUACUUUUUGGGACUUGGAUUUGCAGUAGUGCAUAGAAGCCAAGGUUCCCUCUACACGAAAUACGAAGUGGGUGAUUCAGCUACUCUCUAUUGCAACGUUAGCACAGAUGAAGAAGUCGUAAACAGCUGCACAUUUUUGUGGGAAAUUACCGACGAACUUAAGAAUGACUUCAUAGAUAUCACAACCACGCCGAAAUAUCACAACAGAGUCAGUGUGGCAUCCCAAGACCUUUCAAGCAUGAUGACCAUACGAGAUCUGGCGGACACCGACACAGACGAGAUAAUGUGCACACCAUUGUGUUAUAUUUAUGAUGAUCUUCGUUACAUCUUGGGUAACGGGACAACUCUAAAAAUAACAGAACAAGAAAAGAAAAUAAAGGAACAAGAAAAUUUGGGAUUUCCAUGGCUGAAGUACCUCAUAUUCUCACUCAAUUGUAUAAUUUUCAGCAUUUCAAUGGUAAUCUGUAUCUAUAUUAUUCGAAAACGGCGUUUUGGGAAAUGUGCCCAAAACGAAUAAUAAUGCACUUUUAAACAAUUCUCAUGCCUAAAUCUAAAUGGUUAGGCGUUAAUUUCAUUCAACUAAAAUUGACGAGAUCAAAUGAUUUCGAAAGUGAAAGCAUUUUAAACUAAACAAAGGUGGGGUUAUUUUUUUUUCUAAAUGUUGACGAGGUUUAUUAAUUCGAUUAACAUUUAGCAAUAAAGCAGUCAAACUCAAACUAUCACAAAGGUGUUUAGUUUAGGCUAUUUUGCUUUGCUGUUUAUUUUGACGCAGUUUAUUGUUUCGAUUUAGAUUUACCAGUUAUGCACUAUAUGCUAUAAUCAACUGAUUUUUAAACACCUUGUCUUCGUAAGGAAGUAGGCCUAUAUAAAUGUAAUGUAAUAUCGUGUCAAAAUAUUUUCUUAAAAAAGUCAUAGCUGAAAUAAUCCGUUUCCAGCCAUUUUAAGUCAAAAUGUAACAAGCUCUCUUUAAAUAUAGCUUUGCCAUAUACAGUAUAUAAAAUGUUUUUAAAUCUGUAAUACUUAAUAUUUACGUAUGUACGACAAUUUUUAUUUAAAAAAAAAUUGGAUUAAAGGUCAGAAAAAACAAGUCUUGAGCCAGAAAAACAACUUACCAGUCGUUUUGCAAUUCCAUAAAUGAAAGUGUUUACCUUAUAGGUCGAUUUUUCCUUUACAGGUCGAUUUUUUUCUAUAAAUAGGAGGGACCAGGUUCUCAGAUUACACCUGUGUGUGAAGAUUGGAUUGUUCUCUUCCAUCAAUCUUUGACAACAAAAACUGAAAAUAUGUAUAAAAUAUGUAUUUAACAUUAUUACAAAUACAUUUUCAAGUAUCUCACUUCAUUUGUUUUAUUAAUUUUAAUUCUCAAGUAUAUAAAAAAUGUAAUAAUAGAGAAUUUUCUGUCAGGGCAUUUUCCAAUAACUGUACAAGCAACACCACUGUAAAAGUAAACAAUAUGUAGAGAAUAUUUGAAAUACAAAUAAAGUUUUUACAGUUUACAGUACUUUUUAUAUAAUCAUGCAUUAUUUAAAAAAAAAAAAAAAUAUAUAUAUAUAUAUGUGUGUGUGUGUGUGUGUGUGUGUGUGUGUGUGUGUGUGUGUGUGUAUAUAUAUAUAUAUAUAUAUAUAUAUAUAUAUAUAUAAUUAUUUAAAAUAUUUAUUUAAAUCUAAUAUAUAUAAUUAUUAAAUCUAUAUAUAUAUAUAUAUAUAUAUAUAUAUAUAUAUAUAUAUAUAUAUAUAUAUAUAUAUAUAUAUAUAUAUAUAUAUAAUGUGCAUUGGCAAAAUGUGACAAACCACUCCACUGUGGGAAGAAAAAUAGCAGGGUUAUUUAGAUUUAAAUAAAUAUUUUUAAAAAAAAUUCACUUUCCAUAUGUUCCCAUUUUUAUAUCAUUUGAAGCUUUUUUUUUUUUACAAGUGACAAUAAUUUUAAAACUGUUAGACUGGCUAUUGUGUACUGUGUAUAUUAUGGAUCAUACACACAGGCGUCAUGGUGGCACAGUGGGUAGCAAGAUUCGAGCAUCGGCUGGGUCAGUUGGCAUUUCUAUGUCGAGAUUGCAUGUUCUCCCCGUGUUGGCGUGGGUUUCCUCCGGGUGCUCCGGUUUCCCCCCAGUUUUUUUAAAGUGUAAAAAUCAAGAGAAAUUAAAAUAUAUAACUAUUUGUUGAAAUUUUUUAGUUUUAACAAUUUGUUUAAAUUAAAAUGUUCUAUCUUUAAAUUUCUAAAUGUUCGGUGACUAAAAUAUAAGUUUAUAAAUACAUCUGUUUAGGUGACGCAGUGGCGCAGUAGGUAGUGCUGUCGCCUCACAGCAAGAAGGUCGCUAAAUCAAGCCUCUGCUGGGUCAGUUGCCGUUUCUGUGUGGAGUUUGCAUGUUCUCCCUGUGUUCACGUGGGUUUCCUCCGGGUGCUCUGGUUUCCCCCACAGUCCAAAGACAUGCGGUACAGGUGAAUUGGGUAAGCUAAAUUGUCCGUAGUGUAUGAGUGUGAAUGAGUGUGUAUGGUUGUUUCCCAGAGAUGGGUUGUGGCUGGAUGGGCAUCCACUGCGUAAAACAAAUGCUGGAUAAGUUGGAAGGUCACUCCGCUGUGGCGACCCUGGAUUGAUAAAGGGACUGAGCCAAAAAGAAAAUGAAUGAAUGUAUGAAUAUAUCUGUUUACAUGCCUAUAUUCACUGAAAAAUGGAUAAAAAUAUUCAUUUUUAAAAUGGGGUGUACUCUAUUAAGCUGAGCACUGUAUGCACAUUUAUAUAUGUACUGUAUGCAAAAAAAAAAAAGGUUUGUGCAGUUCUAUUUGAAUGUAUGUGUAAAUAUAAUGAAGAUACUGUAUAAUGCACAAAUAAAAUAAUAAAGUAAAAUAUAUAAUGCACACACAUCAAAACAAACUUUUGUUUUUGUGUAUGUGUGUAAAUGAAAUUGUAUGGGUGUUUCCCAGUUAUAGGUUGCAGCUGGAAGGGCAUCCAAAGCUCAAAACAUGUCUUGGAUAAGUUGGUGGUUCAUUCUGCUGUGGCGACCCCAGAUUAAUAAAGAGACUAAGCCAAAGGAAAAUGUAUGAACAAAAAAUUGCGAUUAAUCUUUGCCAGGCACUUGGAAAAAAAAAAACAUUUUUAAAAAACUCAAAAUGUUUCUGUGCCUCUAUAGAUUUAUGUUUGUAUGGGAUGUUUUUACCACAAUAACUGCUAGCACGGAGUCUAAUAUAGAUGCUGAUAAGUUAAGGUUUAAAUUGUAAAUCAAUCUUUUCAGAAAUGUAUUAACUUGUAAUGUUUUUCAUAGGUUUAAAAGCACAAUUGCACUGAUAUGUUAGGAGAGAGGGGGGUGGGGGGUGGCACUAUGCUCAGUGGUUACUGCUGUCGCCUCACAGCAAGAAGGUCGCUGGUUCGAGCCUUAACUGGGUCAGUUGGCAUUUCUGUGUAGAGUUUGCAUGUUCUCCCUAUGUUCGUGUGCGUUUUGUACGGGUGCUCCGAUUUUCCCCACAGUACAAAGACAUGCACUAAAGGUAAAUUGAGUAAACUAAAUUGAUAGUAUAAGAGUGUGUUUCCCAGUACUGGGUUGUGGCUGGAAGUCCAUCUGCUGCAUAAAAAUAAAUGAAAGUUGUGGUCAGAUGUCUCACUCAGUAUGCAAAGAUCUUGUGCAUUGAGAAGCUUGUUUUUUUACAGUUGCCCCAAAAAUUAUCAUGUUAAAAAUUAUGCUGUUUUUGGCAACUAUACAGUGCACUGAUAUACGACAUUAGGCAUAACCAGAGAUUGAGCUGAUGGAACAUUUAGAAAGUAUUUCCUGUCUAUAUAUGUACUUUCAUGUCAGCUAAGACAUCUUCUUUCAUGCCAAAAUAUAUAUGAGGUUUUAAUUACAAAUGUUUAACAUUUAAAAGGGAUUAUGUUUACUCAGACGUGUUGCUAUGGCUAUAGAAAGAAAUGCUCACUUAAUUAUAUGCUAUGUGUAUGGAUGAAAUGUUAAAUAUUAACAACAUCAUAUAGGCUAGUUAGCAUGCCUUGAAAAGUUUUUGCAACAUCAUUGCAUCCUGCCACAAUACCCCAUAAGCUCUAUCUGUUUUUGUGUUUCUUAACCACAGCACAGAACUCAAAAUAAUAUUUAAAGUGAUGAUGAAUGAUACCAUUCUUAUUUUAAAACAUGAUUAAAGUAACUUCUUGAUAGACCUGUAAACUUGAGAUUAUCAGUGUAAAUUGUACUCUUUAUUGUGAACUGCAAAUUAGGUGUGUUUUAAAGUUAAAAAAAGCUUGUACUUCCUGUUUUUAUGCUUUGUUUAAAAGCAACCCUGCUCAAAUAAAAAAAUAAAAUGAA